UACGUAGGGCGCAAGCGUUGUCCGGAAUCAUUGGGCGUAAAGAGCUCGUAGGCGGCCUGUUGCGUCCGCUGUGAAAUCCCGGGGCUUAACCCCGGGCGUGCAGUGGAUACGGGCUGGCUGGAGGCAGGCAGGGGAGAACGGAAUUCCUGGUGUAGCGGUGAAAUGCGCAGAUAUCGGGAGGAACACCGGUGGCGAAGGCGGUUCUCUGGGCCUGUACUGACGCUGAGGAGCGAAAGCGUGGGGAGCGAACAGG
rnacentral:rRNA from 1 species